rnacentral:rRNA from 1 species
ACACUCCUACGGGAGGCAGCAGUGGGGAAUUUUGGACAAUGGGCGAAAGCCUGAUCCAGCAAUGCUGCGUGAGUGAAGAAGGCCUUCGGGUUGUAAAGCUCUUUUGUCAGGGAAGAAACGGUGAAAGCUAAUAUCUUUUGCUAAUGACGGUACCUGAAGAAUAAGCACCGGCUAACUACGUGCCAGCAGCCGCGGUAAUACGUAGGGUGCAAGCGUUAAUCGGAAUUACUGGGCGUAAAGCGUGCGCAGGCGGUUUUGUAAGUCUGAUGUGAAAUCCCCGGGCUCAACCUGGGAAUUGCAUUGGAGACUGCAAGGCUAGAAUCUGGCAGAGGGGGGUAGAAUUCCACGUGUAGCAGUGAAAUGCGUAGAUAUGUGGAGGAACACCGAUGGCGAAGGCAGCCCCCUGGGUCAAGAUUGACGCUCAUGCACGAAAGCGUGGGGAGCAAACAGGAUUAGAUACCCUUGUAGUCCCAU